rnacentral:misc_RNA from 1 species
GUGAAGAACGUAGCAAAAUGCGAUAAGUAAUGUGAAUUGCAGAAUUCAGUGAAUCAUCGAAUCUUUGAACGCACAUUGCGCCCGCCAGUAUUCUGGCGGGCAUGCCUGUUCGAGCGUCAUUUCAACCCUCAAGCACAGCUUGGUGUUGGGACUCGCGUUAAUUCGCGUUCCCCAAAUUGAUUGGCGGUCACGUCGAGCUUCCAUAGCGUAGUAGUAAAACCCUCGUUACUGGUAAUCGUCGCGGCCACGCCGUUAAACCCCAACUUCUGAAUGUUGACCUCGGAUCAGGUAGGAAUACCCGCUGAACUUAAGCAUAUCAAUAAGCGGAGGA